rnacentral:rRNA from 1 species
AAAUUGGAGAGUUUGAUCAUGGCUCAGAUUGAACGCUGGCGGCAGGCCUAACACAUGCAAGUCGAACGGUAACAGGAAGAAGCUUGCUUCUU